CUGAUAUAAAAUUAACCAAAGAUAAAGAUACAUAAAAUAUAGAAGAAUGAACACAAGGGAAAAAAAAUAAUAGAUAAGAGAGAAUAUGAGAGUAUUCUAUUAUAUUCAUCAAGGUGAAUUCUUACAAGAUCACAUGAGUCCUUUUUAUAGAUCAUAAUUCUUGUAACUUACAAAUAUAUUAAAAGUCUACUAAUAGAUGUACUAAAAUAAUAGAGUGAGUGACCUUUAACAUAGUGGAGUGAGUGGCCUUUAACUAUUAAAGUUAUAGGAGGUAGGAAGAUCAAAAUUUACCAUAUAUUGUAAUUAUUCACAACACUUCCCUCGGAUGUUCAUUAAAGAUAUGCUUCAUUAAAACAUUCCCUAAGAAAAAACCUCCUGAGAAAAAAUUUUAGUGAAGAAAAAAGAGUACAACAUCAUUUCUGUGGGAACUGCCUUAUUAAGACAAAAAUCUUACAACGAAAACUCAAUAAGACAAAACCAUGGUUAAUGGAAAAAAAAAAGUGCAUAUUAUAAAUAUCUCCCUCAUGCAAGAAAUCAUGUCUAAGACGAUGAAUAUCAAUCUUCUAUAAUAGUUGCUUAAAAGUUUCACUUGACAAUGACUUUAUUAGAAUAUAUUAUUUCAACUGAGUUAUUCUUGUACGAAUAUAAGUCCCUUG
rnacentral:lncRNA from 1 species